UACGUAGGGUGCGAGCGUUGUCCGGAAUUAUUGGGCGUAAAGAGCUCGUAGGCGGCUUGUCGCGUCGUUCGUGAAAACCCGGGGCUCAACUCCGGGCUUGCGGGCGAUACGGGCAGGCUAGAGUUCGGUAGGGGAGACUGGAAUUCCGGGUGUAGCGGUGGAAUGCGUAGAGAUCCGGAAGAACACCGGAGGCGAAGGCGGCUUGCUGGGCUCGGUCUGACGCUGAGGCGCGAAAGCGUGGGGAGCGAACAGG
rnacentral:rRNA from 1 species